rnacentral:lncRNA from 1 species
CAAAGCAGCCCUGGGACAAACACCAGCUUUCCCUUUCUUAGCCUUUUCUAACGAGUUCUUUAACAGGUGGUUCCUGGCAAAGAGUGCAGCUUGCACAUGAAGUUCACCCAAGGACGCAGUUUCCUCAGGUGUGGCUGCAGUUCCAAGGUGACUGUUUCACAUUUGACCAGCAGGAAAUGGAGGAGAAGGGCUCAAAGUGUUUUCGAACCAC